CAAAAUAUACAUUGCUCAGAAAAAUAAAUUCCAACCAUCAACCUCAACAUGGCAUAUAGAAUAUAAUAAUAAAAUUUUGAAAUAGUUACACUUAACUAAUAGAAGAUAUAAAAUUGACAACAUAGGCAUGUUAACAAGGUAGCCUGCUUAUUAACAAAAUACAUAGUUGGUGCCGACAUACAAACAAAUGUGUUGGAGUUCAGAUGUACGCACAAUAUAUCAUAUAUUUAUUUACCUUGCUCAGGGAGAUUUUUUUUUCCAACUAUCGAUCUCAACAUAAUAUAUAGUUUCAUAAAAAUACAAUAAUAAUUCUGGAAAUUGCUACUCUUAAUUAACGGGCUGAAGAAAUAAAAAAUGACAAGACAGGCAUGUUAACAAGGUAGCCUGCUUAUUAACAACACACAUAGUUCAUGUGCACAUAUGCAAACAAACGUGCUUGAGUUCGAUCGGGUAUAUACGUGCAACAUAUCAUGUCCAUUAGUAUGGCCUAUUUCGCCGCGUUCUCAU
rnacentral:lncRNA from 1 species